rnacentral:lncRNA from 1 species
CAUUAUUGAAUUUUACCUAUUUAACACAAAAUGCAGCAAUUUGGCGCAUAGUUCAUCCGAAAAGUAACUAAAUAUCAUCAUUUUAAGGUCUUAAAUAAGUAUAUAAAAUACACUUAUCAUCGUGUAUCCUAUAUACAAUCUCAAUAAUGAGACAAAAAAAUCUAUCUUUAAAGAUAUGUUAAGAAAUUUAGACGUAAAUAUGGAAUUAACACGAUAACAAACAACAUGUCACUUUUAUUGUCUCUAGAUGACUAAGGUAAUUAAUCAAAUCAAUGUAGGUAUUUGGUUUAAAGAUUGAAAAUUUUAGUUAAGUACAAACUUGAAAAUGUUUUUGUGUUGAGUUCAACCAAAUAUUCGGACUUGAUUAGAUAAUCAAAUUAUAAAAAUAAAUAGACUAAAUUGUUCUACUCUUCUAGUAGAUAGUCGUAGUAUAUUUAAAAUCUCAACCAAUUUCCCAUGAAUGAGAAAUUGUGGUCAAAAUUUGGAAGAAAAAAAGAGGAAAAAUUAUAUAGCACUAUCGCUGGAACAGUAGGCUAGCACCAAGUGAGCUGCAAAGCUAUCACUCAAGCUACAGGCUAGCAAUAGACAGUAUUUCUAUCGAAAAUAUGGCACUGGCACUCGAGCGAGAGGCUAACGACAACAAGGGAUGCAUACCUUCUUGAAGGUUACUGAAUUUUAGGGCAUGUUUCUUCACACAACCUCUUCUCUUCUAUAAAUAGGACACUUUGGCCAUCCAUUAUGCAUCCAAUAUCAUUUUUCAUUAAGCAUUAAAUCAAAAAUGUCUUGCAAAACCUCUUCAAAAAUCAUUCCAAAAUAAAUUUCUUGUAGAGAGAAAAAAUUUCGUUCGAGUCCGAUGUUGCUUAUGGUUUUAAAUGCUUCCCCCACAAGUAAUAUCCGUUGUAUAUUGGGAGACAAGUGCUUUAAUCUAUUAACACCAUUGUGGGACAAUUUUAUCUUAAGGAAAAAGUGUUAAUCACUUGCCUUGAAUUUCGUUUCCUCACUUUCAUUUCAUUGCAAGGUUACAUAGAGUUUUAUUGCGCUCUUGAGAAUUAAAUUUAACAAGUAUUUUGUAUAUGGACAAACAACCAUUUCCCUACAC